UUGAAACUUCAGAUUUAAACUAUUUAAAUGCAAGUAAUGCAAAGAAGCAAUUUAUUGCACUGCAUUCUUUCCGCAAUAAUGUUAUAGUUUUUCUUAAUCAAAUGUGCAUCUGUGAUUUCAUUUAAACAUUUGAAAUGAAAACAUUUUAAACAUGAACAUUGUGCACAAGUUGAUACCAUUUGAUUCAAACAUCGUGAAUGGAUUAAAGGAUAUAUUUACCGUCUGACAUCAUAAUAACAAACUGUUGUGAAACGUAAUGUCUAGUCAUGGCUGCUGCUCUAUCCGGUACAUCAUCUUCGGCGCAUGCAUCAGACAAUCGUAUCUUCCUAUUCCGUCUACAAAUGUUAAUUAUUGAUGGUGGACUAGCAGUGUUAAGAAAUUAUGUAGAUCAGGAACUUUCAUCUCAAUCUAUUACUCUCAGUGGAUGUCUUACAAUCGAAAAGACAACAAUCAAACUUUUAAAGGCACGUGGAAUAAUAACACAGGUGCAAUAUGAUUUAUUGUAUCCAUCACGUGGCACUGUUUCAACGUCAGAUUUGGAUAUCACGCUUAUCAUUUGUCUCAUGAGAAGCCUAAAAUGUUUCAAGUUAAAUAAAAAGUUUAAUUGGAACAUUACACCUGUACAAAGUGAUACUUCUAUCGAAGCAGACAUUUGUAGACUAAAGAAUUACAGGAACGAAAUUUCUCAUAUAUCGACCACUACAGGGAUACAAUGUAACGAUUUUACUACCAAGUGGAAAGAAAUC